UCUGGUGAUUUUAGCGAGAAGGAAACACCCGAUCCCAUCCCGAACUCGGAAGUUAAGCUUCUUAGCGCCGAUGAUACUCUACUGGGGAAAGUAGGUCGUUGCCAGUU
rnacentral:rRNA from 2 species